AUGGCUCAGGACGGCGAAGACUCAGGCUAUGAGCAUGGGGAUGAUGACUUGAUGCUGCCUGAUUUGCCGGAGCUGGAACAUCCUAAGGCGGAAUGCAAAAAGUCUCUCUUCAAGCGAUCCUCGCAGGAAACGCCUCCAGAUGCUGCCUAUACCCAGCAACCCCCCGAGGCCCGUCCACUGAUUAGCCCGACGACACUGGGGGUGGUGGUUAGGGAAGCUAUGGUGGGCUCACUACCGCCACCCACCAAGAAGCAAAGGAGGAGACCGGACAAGAAAGGCCCUAAAGGAACCAGAGCUGCUUCAAGAAGCCAGCCGCCUCUGGAGCCCCGGGUGGUAGACACAAUACUUGUCGAAGGUGCGCAACGCUUCCAUGUCGCCGGCCAGCCGAUCCUACCUGCGAAAGGAAUAGAGCACAUACUGAACAAUGAUCUAAGGAGACUCCAUGAAGAUGUGCUGGCCAGAGAGAAAAGCCUUCUGGUCACGGAAAAACCAGGACACCCGCUUUAA
rnacentral:rRNA from 1 species